UCUACGUAUCACAGCUAUGCUAUCAGUCAAGCCACUUCUCGCUAAAGCCUGCCUUCAGCAAGGUUGGUUCCAGCAAGGAUGAAGAUCGAGGCUGACACAGUACCAUUUGCUGAGUAAAGCUGAACUCUCAUCUCUGGGGUUCAGGGUCCUCCUUUGCUGUCUCCUGCAGAGCCUCCCUUGCCUCUCCAAGCAGGCACUCUGCACCUGGGGCUGGAACAUCCCUCUGACAGCUCACCCUUCCCCGCUUGUCAUGUGAGAAAGGAAAGGUUUGUGUUUCUCACUGACGUUGGACACAGACCAUGGAAGACAAGAAGGAAAGACUCUCCCCGCUUCCUUGCUACCCUGAGGAUGAAGCUGCCACAGCUCGAGAAAGAUACGCCAUAUGGUACUUAACAUCAGAAUCGGAAUGAGCUUGUGCCUUUUGUGUGAGAUGCUGAAAUUUAUUAGAAAAUCAGAAAGCCUCAUUUCCACCAAGUUCCUGAGACCUGCCAUCUGCUGCAUGAGAAAGAAAAUGGAGAGCUUGGCAUGUCUAUCGGAACUGCUGCAGGCAACGUUCACUGAUACGAUGCCUGGGAUUCUCCUGAGCCGCUGCGGGCAGACAGGACGGUGGUGACCGCUCAGACCUCAAGACGCAGCGUCACCAUG